GGGUCGGUGGCGUAGUUGGUUAUCGCAUCUGUCUAACAUUCCAGUAUGGGACGUGUCCACAGAAGGUCCUCAGUUCGAACCUGGGCCGACUCA